AUGAGCAUUCUUGGGGUUAAGCAUGGUCUGUGCCAGUCAGACCACACUGCACGGUAUGAGAAGCCACACAAACGGAGGCUCUGUUCUCCCAGCCCUCUCACAAGCACCGAACCAGGAAAACAACAGCGCUCUCUCUCGUCAACGAGCAGCUCCCUUUUCCAUAUAAUAAGGGGGUCAAAAGCCAGACAACCUCCAGGCCUGGGGACGCAGAUCAACCCCUGGGGACCUGCAGCUCACUGGCUCCAGGGGAGGAGAUCAAUUCUGCUUGGUCAGAAAUGGAAAACCAUGCAUCCCCUUGGUCAACUGCUGUAAGAUUUAAAAACCUCGCCAUAGGGCAGCUCCGUCAGCUCCUUGGAAAAUGACGACAGCUCUGAGGCGCGCAGCCAGGCCCGGCAGUGCGGCAGGAUUUAAGCGCUGCCGCUGGAGACUCUGCCCGUCUCGUGAGGCACUUUCACCCCCCGCCUCCCGCUGCUCUCCUCUUUCUCACCCGGCCCCAGCCUUCUUCUACACAGGUCCCUGCUUCUCACUUAAUUCUACCCAACACACGUGAGAGACAGACACACAGCUAAUUCCGGGCCUGUCUUUUUUCCAUAUCUCUUCAGCAGCAAGCAGCAAGCUGUGAAACGCUUUGUGGGUGACAGAUUGUGUUUUCAAGUGAAAUGGUGUUGCUUAUUUAAGGCAGAGGGUGAAAAUGAUUAUUCCAAGACAUGAAAAUCACGUGCACUCUUAAUACCUAGGUGAUAUGCAGACAAAAUGUAAAGGUUACCCUUAGAAAAAUAAAAUUCCAGCUUUUUGGCCCCCAUACCAUUUGUUUAUACUUCCCCUAAGGGACAGAUACAGAGAACCCAGGCAAUGUCUUAACAGCUUUUGGUCAAUAGGUGGCACAGUGUUGAUUCGAUUCACUCUUUUCAUCAAGUGUGAACAAACAGACUGUGUAUUUAAUGGUCUACAUACCGUGCACGCACUCAGGUCUUCUGUCCUGAGUAUUACAAUGAGAGACUGCCUCGAUUGUUUCAGUGAAGAUCGUUGUGUAACUCCCGGAUAUUCUUGAAACCUAAACCCUAUCCUUCAGAAUGCCCAGCCACUAAAAGCGUUGUUUUAAUCCCACUGUUGUAGCGAAACAGCAGAAUACAUUGUAUUUUUAACUUAAACGUAUGACCACCAGGAGGUCCCAAUCAGAUUUUCAUUUCAGCCUUAAGCAAGAACUACAGGCUGGUGGCAUCAUGUUUUUAAGAACCUAAAAGACAAUGAGGGUAGGCAGACUUUUAAUAGGCCUGCAUUCUUCUACAGCACCAUGGAAAAUACUUCACGCCUGUGAAAACCACUGCGAUUUUAAGUGUAUGGAGUUUUGACAAGACCUUGAUUUAACGUACAAUAAGGAAACUCUCACAGCACAGUGGUCCACAGGAAAGAAUACCACUCACUGGUCCACCCACACCACGUCCAGAUGCGACACCAUCUCCCUUCUCCGUCCAGAACUAAUCAGGCCAAGCCUUGCUGAAGAUGGUAUGGCUUCUUUUAAGAUGGUAUGGCUGCUUUUGCACAAACAAAUGCACGCUGGCAAUAGCGGUAUAGUCUGCUGAUCUGUUCCAAUGGCACUCUGAGGGUAAACAUGUAUGACAUGAAUAUGCUACUUUUUGCUUUUUUUGUAGAUACAUUUGUCUUUGCCCUAUAAAGAGUACGCAAUGUAUACAUAGCAAGGUAAAUGGAGGAUUAUCACCUCUCUAAUAAGAAGAUACUGUUGAUUGAGACCCAGCCCUGCUUAAACCUUGUAGGAAUCCUAUUGAAGCAUAAGGCACAGAUUAGACAGGGAGGACUGCUUUAAGUGAGACUAGAAGGUGUAUUACUUUACCACAUGCUUUUAGCAAUAGUUCAUUCAGCAGCAAUGUUUUAAUCAAAGUGCUGAAUACAGCCAUGCUAAAUACCUCUGAGUCAGACUUCACAGAGAGAAGCCUGUGAAGCAUGCAAUUCAAUAGGCACUUACUAGGGAGUGAAUUUGAUAUUUCUGUCAAAAAGCAGGCUGGCUGUUCUAGUGCAGUCUGUUCAACGGCAGGCAUUCCUUACAAUCUGUUUGAUGUGCCACUGUUGGACUUCCACGUGCCACAAUUGGGAACGCAGACUCUGAACCAAUAGCAGAGUCAUUGUCAGUCAAUUGAAAUUUAGAAAACAUUAAAGUGCAUUCUAUAUACUAUACUUUGUAAAUUGAGUGCACCCUUUUACAUUGACAGCUAUACGAGCACUGCAGGCAUUUCUUUCUCACUGUACACUCCUUGAGUAACUUAGAAAAUGUAACAGACAGCAGUAGUAUCAGUAGUUAAUUACAGUACGUUACACUGAAAUUGGACUCCACUGCACGAAUUGACCAGUGUUAAACACAUGGCCCGCUUUGUCACAACGUGCUGGAAUACAAUAAGAGCAGGAUCAUUUUGCUUUCUCACUCACUGGUGUUAAAUCACAGAUCUAUUAAUAGUAUGUGCAGGACAAUGAAGGAAAAAGCUAUUCUUACCAGGCUGGUCUGCUCUCCAAGCUCUCUCCUUAUUAUUAAAAUCCAUGAUUCCUCUGAUCUGAGUAACAGUUUCCAGCUGUAAUUUGGAAAAAAAAAUCUGCAGUCUUUCAGCGUGAGUACUGUUUUGGUUUUUUUUCUCUUAGUUUUUUCACAAGAAAAAGAUAUCUAAAUAUCAAACUUUUUUUUAGCUUUGUAAGGCUGAUAAUUUCAGGGGCUGGAAGAAUGGGGGCGUGAAUGCUCGUGUGUGUAUCUGCAGCAGGGGCUUAAAUUCCUACACUUCCCACUUUCCGAUUUCCUAGGCGGUUUGCUGCAGUCACACCACAUCGACUUGUAGUAUCUGAGCUUCUAAGAAUGUGACUCAGCCCUGCUUUCUUUUGCACAAUUAUGACUAUUUCCUUCCCCACAGAGUACAACACAAGGCCAGUGCUUAUCAGCUCAAUUUCAUGCCUUUUCAGCUGCCUACCAGAAAAGCGCCUGGCUCCUGUGAUGUAGCAGCACACAUGUAGCCUCCUUCACCCAGCACAGUAUGAAAAUUUGACUUCAGAUGCUUAAAGUUUGCAGCACAAAGCAUAUCAGAACAGUAAAUAGGUUCCAA
rnacentral:lncRNA from 1 species